rnacentral:rRNA from 1 species
UACUGCAUUUUUUCUUACACAUGUGUUUUUCUUUUUUUGAAAACUUUGCUUUGGUAGGCAUCUAUAUGGGGCCUGCCAGAGAUUAAACUCAACCAAAUUUUAUUUAAUGUCAACCGAUUAUUUAAUAGUCAAAACUUUCAACAACGGAUCUCUUGGUUCUCGCAUCGAUGAAGAACGCAGCGAAAUGCGAUAAGUAAUAUGAAUUGCAGAUAUUCGUGAAUCAUCGAAUCUUUGAACGCACAUUGCGCCCUUUGGUAUUCCAAAGGGCAUGCCUGUUUGAGCGUCAUUUCUCCCUCAAACCCUCGGGUUUGGUGUUGAGCGAUACGCUGGGUUUGCUUGAAAGAAAGGCGGAGUAUAAACUAAUGGAUAGGUUUUUUCCACUCAUUGGUACAAACUCCAAAACUUCUUCCAAAUUCGACCUCAAAUCAGGUAGGACUACCCGCUGAACUUAAGCAUAUCAAUAAGCGGAGG